AACGAACGCUGGCGGCAUGCCUAACACAUGCAAGUCGAACGAAGCCUUCGGGCCUAGUGGCGCACGGGUGCGUAACGCGGGGGAAUCUGCCCUUGCGUUCGGAAUAAAAGUUAGAAAUGACUGCUAAUAGCGGAUGAUGUCUUCGGACCAACGAUUUAUCGCCCAAGGAUGAGCCCGCGUAGGAUUAGGGAGUUGGUGGGGUAAUGGCUCACCAAGCCGACGAUCCUUAGCUGGUCCGAGAGGAUGAUCAGCCACCCUGGGACGGAGACACGGCCCGGACUCCUCCGGGAGGCAGCAGUGGGGAAUAUUGGACAAUGGGAGAAAGCCUGAUCCAGCAAUGCCUCGUGAUUGAUGAAGGCCUUAGGGUUGUAAAGCUCUUUUACCCGGGAUGAUAAUGACAGUACCUGGAGAAUAAGCUCCGGCUAACUCCGUGCCAGCCGCCGCAGUAAGAC
rnacentral:rRNA from 1 species